AGCACUAGGGGCCGAUACGCGGACGGCGA
rnacentral:sRNA from 1 species